rnacentral:rRNA from 1 species
UACAGAGGGGGCAAGCGUUGUUCGGAAUUACUGGGCGUAAAGGGCGCGUAGGCGGCCUUCUAAGUCGAACGUGAAAUCCCCGGGCUCAACCCGGGAACUGCGUCCGAUACUGGAAGGCUUGAAUCCGGGAGAGGGAUGCGGAAUUCCAGGUGUAGCGGUGAAAUGCGUAGAUAUCUGGAGGAACACCGGUGGCGAAGGCGGCUCACUGGCCCGAUACUGACGCUGAGGCACGAAAGCGUGGGGAGCAAACAGG